rnacentral:rRNA from 1 species
UACAGAGGUCUCAAGCGUUGUUCGGAUUCAUUGGGCGUAAAGGGUGCGUAGGUGGCGAUGCAAGUCUGGUGUGAAAUCUCGGAGCUCAACUCCGAAAUUGCACCGGAUACUGCGUGACUCGAGGACUGUAGAGGAGAUCGGAAUUCACGGUGUAGCAGUGAAAUGCGUAGAUAUCGUGAGGAAGACCAGUUGCGAAGGCGGAUCUCUGGGCAGUUCCUGACAGCUGAGGCACGAAGGCCAGGGGAGCAAACGGG